AGAGUUUGAUCCUGGCUCAGGACGAACGCUGGCGGCGUGCCUAAUACAUGCAAGUCGAACGAGAGCGACCGGUGCUUGCACUGGUCAAUCUAGUGGCGAACGGGUGAGUAACACGUGGGUAACCUGCCCAUCAGAGGGGGAUAACAUUCGGAAACGGAUGCUAAAACCGCAUAGGUCUUCGAACCGCAUGGUUUGAAGAGGAAAAGAGGCGCAAGCUUCUGCUGAUGGAUGGACCCGCGGUGCAUUAGCUAGUUGGUGAGGUAACGGCUCACCAAGGCCGUGAUGCAUAGCCGACCUGAGAGGGUGAUCGGCCACAUUGGGACUGAGACACGGCCCAAACUCCUACGGGAGGCAGCAGUAGGGAAUCUUCCGCAAUGGACGCAAGUCUGACGGAGCAACGCCGCGUGAGUGAAGAAGGUUUUCGGAUCGUAAAACUCUGUUGUUAGAGAAGAACAAGUGCUAGAGUAACUGUUAGCACCUUGACGGUAUCUAACCAGAAAGCCACGGCUAACUACGUGCCAGCAGCCGCGGU
rnacentral:rRNA from 1 species